GAUGAACGCUGGCGGCGUGCCUAAUACAUGCAAGUCGAGCGAAUGGAUUAAGAGCUUGCUCUUAUGAAGUUAGCGGCGGACGGGUGAGUAACACGUGGGUAACCUGCCCAUAAGACUGGGAUAACUCCGGGAAACCGGGGCUAAUACCGGAUAACAUUUUGAACCGCAUGGUUCGAAAUUGAAAGGCGGCUUCGGCUGUCACUUAUGGAUGGACCCGCGUCGCAUUAGCUAGUUGGUGGGGUAACGGCUCACCACGGCAACGAUGCGUAGCCGACCUGAGAGGGUGAUCGGCCACACUGGGACUGAGGCACGGCCCAGACUCCUACGGGAGGCAGCAGUAGGGAAUCUUCCGCAAUGGACGAAAGUCUGACGGAGCAACGCCGCGUGAGUGAUGAAGGCUUUCGGGUCGUAAAACUCUGUUGUUAGGGAAGAACAAGUGCUAGUUGAAUAAGCUGGCACCUUGACGGUACCUAACCAGAAAGCCACGGCUAACUACGUGCCAGCCGCCGCAGUAA
rnacentral:rRNA from 1 species